rnacentral:rRNA from 1 species
AUACGUAGGGUGCGAGCGUUAAUCGGAAUUACUGGGCGUAAAGCGUGUGCAGGCGGUUAUGUAAGACAGAUGUGAAAUCCCCGGGCUCAACCUGGGAACUGCAUUUGUGACUGCAUGACUGGAGUGCGGCAGAGGGGGAUGGAAUUCCGCGUGUAGCAGUGAAAUGCGUAGAUAUGCGGAGGAACACCGAUGGCGAAGGCAAUCCCCUGGGCCUGCACUGACGCUCAUGCACGAAAGCGUGGGGAGCAAACAGGAUUAGAAACCCCAGUAGUCC